UAACGGUGGGGCCCAGGGGCCGUAUUACAGAAACUUCCUAUCUUAAGUCCUAAGUUAAGAUAGGAGAAGUGGAGAUAGGAUUUUUCUCAAUUUGGUAUUACAGAAACAUAUCCUAUCUUAAUUUAGGAAUCCUAUCUUAUCUCAGGUUAAGAUAUCCUAAGUAGGCGAUCUAGCAUCGACAUUCAGCUUUUAUGUCUGUUACCUAGCAACUGAUGAAACUUGUUGUCGGAUCACGUCACUUCACAGCUGACAACUGUCAUAAUCCUAAAAUAUCCAAAAACAACUGCUAGCUAUGGAUGGGAUUGGGAAAAUACAACGUCGUGCCGAAAAUUUUAAAGCGGACGAAAUAGAAAAGUUGGUGAGUUUAGUAGAAAGCUCAAAGGAAAUAUUGUAUGGGAAAUUUUUUUUGAGUCUGACCAAAGAAAAUAAAGACCAAGAAUGGCUGAAAAUAGCCGAAAAGGUGAGCACCGUAUCAGGGAUCAGUAGAAACGUUGAAAACGUCAAGAAAAAAAUUACCACACUCACAAGUGUCGUUAAGAAAAAAGCAACGUUAAUUUGUAAAGACCGGAGAAUUACCGGUGGUGGCAACUCUUCCGCUACCCCCCUGACACCGGCGGAGGACCGGAUUGUGGGACUCCUCAGCAAGGCUGACUACGAGGGCAUCGAUGGAGGCUUUGAGACUGGGUUGCCAGUGGACUUCUUGGAGACCACAACUUCAGUCAGUGAAGUUGUUGAAGUCGAUGCUACACGACCGCCUCCUG